rfam:Polaribacter sp. KT25b genome assembly, chromosome: I
GCGCACGUGGCGGAAUUGGUAGACGCGCCACCUUGAGGGGGUGGUAUUCGCAAGGAUGUGGAAGUUCGAAUCUUCUCGUGCGCA